UACGUAGGGGGCGAGCGUUGUCCGGAGUUACUGGGCGUAAAGCGCGUGCAGGCGGUCCACCAAGUCUGGAGUGACAGUUCCCGGCUCACCUGGGAAAGGCCUUCGGAAACUGGUGGACUUGAGGGACUCAGAGGGAGACGGAAUUCCAGGUGGAGCGGUGAAAUGCGUAGAGAUCUGGAGGAACACCAACAGCGAAGGCAGUCUCCUGGGAGUUACCUGACGCUCAGACGCGAAAGCCAGGGGAGCGAACGGG
rnacentral:rRNA from 1 species